rnacentral:rRNA from 1 species
CUUCGGUGGGGAUUAGUGGCGAACGGGUGAGUAACACGUGGGCAAUCUGCCCUGCACUCUGGGACAAGCCCUGGAAACGGGGUCUAAUACCGGAUAUGACCCUCGCAGGCAUCUGUGAGGGUGUAAAGCUCCGGCGGUGCAGGAUGAGCCCGCGGCCUAUCAGCUUGUUGGUGAGGUAACGGCUCACCAAGGCGACGACGGGUAGCCGGCCUGAGAGGGCGACCGGCCACACUGGGACUGAGACACGGCCCAGACUCCUACGGGAGGCAGCAGUGGGGAAUAUUGCACAAUGGGCGAAAGCCUGAUGCAGCGACGCCGCGUGAGGGAUGACGGCCUUCGGGUUGUAAACCUCUUUCAGCAGGGAAGAAGCGAAAGUGACGGUACCUGCAGAAGAAGCGCCGGCUAACUACGUGCCAGCAGCCGCGGUAAUACGUAGGGCGCAAGCGUUGUCCGGAAUUAUUGGGCGUAAAGAGCUCGUAGGCGGCUUGUCGCGUCGGUUGUGAAAGCCCGGGGCUUAACCCCGGGUCUGCAGUCGAUACGGGCAGGCUAGAGUUCGGUAGGGGAGAUCGGAAUUCCUGGUGUAGCGGUGAAAUGCGCAGA